rnacentral:siRNA from 1 species
GAGUGUGCCUUGUCGGCAAA